GAACUAGCAAUGUCAAUAAUAAUAAACACCUUAAAGCCUGUUAUUGUUUUUUUUUUUAGAUCACUUAACUGGAAUACACGAUAUUCACAUGACUUCAUACAACACCUGUCUGCAGGGCUCACUGGGCAAAACCUUUAUGAACCAUCAAGCCACAGCAAAUUCCAGUUGUUUUGAUAUUGCUCUUGCUCCUGCAGUUCAAGAAUCUUAGCUGAUAGCAGGCUGAGAGCUCUUUUUGCAGUUCCUGUGGAGUUCUGCUCAGUAUUCUGGUAAAAGAAAGUAAUAUUUUCAGUAGACUUCCCUGGAAGUAUUUGUUGCUGACAACUUGCCUUUAGCUGUCAGACUGUAAAACCAUCUUCACCUAAGUGACUGACCAGCCAAAUACAUUUAGAAUUCUAUCCAUAAUGAGCAGGCUUUAAAAAAAAAAUAAAAAUAAAAAAAAAUUGUAGAUUUUCUCUGUC
rnacentral:lncRNA from 1 species